rnacentral:lncRNA from 1 species
GAGGGAGAGCGACAGGAGAGGGAGAGAGAGGGAGAGAGAGAGAGAGAGAGAGAGAGAGAGAGAGAGAGAGAGAGAGAGAGAGAGAGAGAGAACACGCGUGAUUGGAGGGGGAAGGAAGAGAGGUGGAAGAGGACAGGGAGAGCGCAGACAGGAAAACUGCAGAAAGCCACAGGGAAAGUACGGUACAGACUCAGAUCUUUUUAUUUUCAACUUACUUCUCGUUUAUUUCCCCACCACUCCUCUUGGCUCCUGCCUAACUGGGUCGCGUUGGGGAUGUUUGGCAUGGCGCUCUAGCUUUUGUUCGUUUUAAUUCCGCGGCCCCCUUCCUCUGCCGGCGGAUUACUAGGUCCCGAACUCUGCCACUACAACCUAGAGCAGCAAGCUCCGCCAACUGCACCACCGCCAGGCUAGGAUUUUUGUUGUUGUUGUUGUUGUUGUUGUUGUUAAGUGGUACUUUCUUUCUCGUGCAGAUGCAGAGCCCUUUUUGUCAAUAUUCAUUUUUGUCUAGUACAAGAUAUGAGCAGCUGAACUCGGAGCAUAGUCCCUCGGUGCGCUGCAGACAGUGUAGACCACCAUUGAGAGUCUAGGGGUCCUGGGCUCAAUCUGGAGGGAGAAAGCAGGAUGAGAGUUAGUAGGGCGGGAGUUAGUGGGGUAGGAGUUAGAGGAGAGGGAGUUGUUUGGUGUUUGUUGUUUACCGAUGUAGACAAGUGUGUGUGUGUGUGUGUGUGUGUGUGUGUGUACGCGCGCGUGCGUGCGUGCGCGUGACCGCUGUGCGCCUCUAAAGUGAAUCUUGGAUCUAGGAAGCACCGGAGGAGAAAGAUUAAAAAGCAUGUGAGACAGAAGAUGCUUGCGAGGAGUGGCUGGCUCUGGCUGCCCAGCUUUGUUGUGGUUGCCCUGGGCGCAGCGGUUGUAAAGAGGGCUAAAGGCUGAGUUAAUUACACCGGGAGGAUUUCGCUGGAUGGGGACCAUGGGACUGGCUCCUAAAGUUUUCCCAAAAGGAAAAGGAAGCGAGUAGGGUUAAAAAGGUAAAUACCCGACUAGGUUUUGGUAGAAACUAGUUCUGGCCGGGGUCCCGCCCAAUCCCUGGCCGGAGUUCCAGCUGGCUUUACCUCUGCUCUGCUGUUUCCCCGCGGCUGCGCGUCAAUCACCGAGAGACGAGAGCUGGGGGCGGAGCUUUGGUCACCCGGCGCGCGUAGCCGGGUUCACCCUGCCGCCACCAGGCAGCUGGCAGCGCGACCCAGCCACGCACUGGGAGCGCGCCCUCUCCCCAACUUCUCACCCUCGCCCUGGGUUCCGGGCCCCAGGCCCAGAGAAUAGCAAACAGAGUAAGGGUUUGCUGUUCAACUGCGGCCUCCCUCCCCAACUCUGAACCAUCCCGUGACAGAAAGCAGCGCCUCCUGCAAGGGUGCCUUUGACUGGACUUUCUCAUGGGGGCGGGGGUGGAUGGGAGUGGUUAGGUAUAGUAGAGUGGUGUGUGUGUGUGUGUGUGUGUGUGUGUGUGUGUGUGUGUGUGUGUGUGAGAGAGAGAGAGAGAGAGAGAGGACUUACAGAGAGAGGGAGAGGGAGACGGAGAGGGAGAGGGAGGGAGGGAGGGAGGGAGAGAGAGAGAGAGAGAGAGAGAGAGAGAGAGAGAGAGAGAGAGAGAGAGGUUUUUCUCCCAUUUAGCAUCUUCCUGGUUUCCUAGCAAGCUUCUGAACAUCCCAAGCUAGCUAAAACUACUGCAUGCCGAGACUCCAUGCGGAGUCUGAGGAAAUUUGGCCUCGUUCUCCUAGGGCUGGUGAAUGAGCUCCGGAGGUCAAUAAAGCCCUCCAAAAAUGAUGAAUGAUUGAGCACCUGUGAUGAUGAUAGUGAUUACCAGAGCAAUUAAACAGUUUGAUUAAAUGAGCCAUCAUAACAAUGAUGUCUGCGGGAAAUCGGCCCUCACAUAUAAAGACAGUGUGGAGGGGCUGGCAGAGGCCCGGAGAGCGCGCCGGGAGAGGGGUUGCAGCCCGUGCGAGUUUGGCUCCAGUGGCCAAAGCAGGGAAGGCGGCCUCGGGGACCUUCUGGGAGCAGAGUCCAGCCAAGGGUUUCCCUCUCUUUCCGCUUCAAGCCCAAGACAGCAGAGCAGUUUGGAACCCGAAGGACUAUAUGGUCCUUUCCCCCUCCCCCACCACUUUUUUCCCCCCUAGAAGAACUUCAAGAUUACAAAUAUCCGUCUCAUUUGAUGCUGAAUUACUCGUGGACAGAUAAGAAAAGGGUAAAAGAGAGGGAAAGAGAGAGAGGGAGGUGAGACACACACAGAGACAGACACAGAAAGGAGAGACACAGAAUAUGAGAGAAUAUUUGGCCUGGCUGAAGACCGUUUUCUGCUUCACAGAGUUGUGAAUGAUACUGGAUCCAAGUUGUCGGCCCAGCACUGUUGGCAGAGUUUACAUUCAGUUUUGAUUCCUCUAAUUGUUCUUAAUUUCAACAUUGGCUAUUUAGUAUCGCCAGUAAGAUUUUUGCUCUUUUUAAAUCCUGGUUAAAUAAACGCCAGUUAGGAAGUUUCUUUUUCAAAGGAACACGGGUUUCCGAGAUAAACGCUUCUUUUGUAAAGAACAACUUCGUGAGAAACCUCUGCAUCUUCCUGUAAGCAUGCUUAGCUCUUUUUUUCCACAGCGGUUCGCAGCCCCCACCCCCACCCCAACCCCAGCUUGUUGAUAUUGUAAAGCGAUUUAAUUUCCCGGUAACCUUUAUUUAGUAAAACUUCUUUAGCAUUAAGAAAAAACAGCAUUAAUAAAGUUUCUCCCUGAGUUAAAAACAAAAAUCCAAGUUGAUUAUUUCUAUUUUCUAAAGCAAUCGUUAAGGAAAUAAUGGCUUGAUGAAGGGUGGUAAUUU